AGAGCAGCUCUCAGACCUAUAUGAGAGAAAAUGAUAGAUACAGGACCAUCUCUCUCAUCUAGGUCAGUGGAUGAUGGAAGAGAAAACAUAUUGCCGCUACUGUCACAGCUGAAGGCUUCCUGGCAUAUGGCUGUUUGGAUUGAUGUUCUCUGCGCAAGCUCAAGCCUGGAGGGCUGCAAGACACACGUUGUGCUGUGACAAGUCAUCACCGUCCUCUCCGCAGCCUUGAGCUCAGCAAGGUCAGCAGAUCACGGCCCCCCUCAUCUCAUGACUGCUGCUGUCCGCUCUCACCUCACUUGUCCAGAUGGCCUUCUGGGAAAGAGUGAAACCGGAGUUUCAUGAAUGCACAUCGUGCACCAAAGACCAACGGCCAAGGUUGAUGCUGGUCAAUAUUCUCUUCCAUUGGAUGAGCAGCGAGCAGGAUGUUUUCUCCUCUUGUGGUUUGAAAAAAAAGAAGGGCAUAAAGCAUUAAAACAACACCAGGUCCAGGUCUUCACAUCCGCCCUCCUCUGGAGUACCGCAGGUCGUCUGCAGAUCCCCACCUGUGGCAUCACACAACACAGCAGAGACAGACAGUUUAAUGAUGGACACAGAGAAAGCAGAAGGAAGACAAAGAGAAAAAAGGAACAAAGAGACAACCGAGGAAUGAGAAGAGGAAAGAGUGGUGGAGAAAGAGAAAGGAACAAAGAUAAGACAGAUUGACAGUGAAUUUGUUUACAUGGACUGCAGUAAUUGAGCUGUUGACUUUCACUCAGUUUUGCUUCCAUGUUAGGAGCCAUAACCUGAUAACAGGAAAAGUUCACCCAAAAAUGUUAUUCCAAACCUUUAUGCUGUUAUAUCUUAUGUGGAACAUAAAGAGAUUGUUUUUUUUAGGAAAUCCUACAGAGGGAUAGUUAAUAUUGAGCACAACUGUCAAGCUCCCCAGAAACAGAAACAGAACCCCAGAAAAAGCAUCAUAAAAGUAGUUCAUAUGACUUUAUGAACAUUCAGUGUUGCUGGGAUUUCCACAAUAAGUCCUGUAGUGUUAUUACUGUUAACUAAAAACUAAUUAUUACAUUUUUUAUUCAAUAAAAUAAAACAAAUUUUAGGUUAAAAGAAAAU